AUCGCUGCCAACCUAUCUAUCGCUGCCAAUUUAUCUACCACUGCCAAUCUAUCUAUUGCUGCUAAUCUAUCACUGCUGUCAAUCUAUCUAUCACUGCUAAUCUAUCUAUCGCUGCUAAUCUAUCGCUGCUGCCAAUCUAUCCCUCACUGCUAAUCUAUUGCUGCUAAUCUAUCACUGCUAAUCUAUCGCUGCUAAUCUAUCGCUGCUAAUCUAUCGCUGCCAACCUAUCUACCGCGGCGAAUCUAUCUAUCGCUGCCAAUUUAUCUACCACUGCCAAUCUAUCUAUCGCUGCCAAUCUAUUGCUGCUAAUCUAUCGCUGCUAAUCUAUCGCUGCUGCCAAUCUAUCUAUCGCUGCUAAUCUAUCGCCGCUGCCAAUCUAUCCCUCGCUGCUAAGCUAUCCCUCGCUGCUAAGCUAUCCCUCACUGCUAAGCUAUCUCUCGCUGCUAAGCUAUCCCUCGCUGCUAAGCUAUCCCUCGCUGCUAAGCUAUCCCUCACUGCUAAGCUAUCUCUCGCUGCUAAGCUAUCCCUCGCUGCUAAGCUAUCCCUCGCUGCUAAGCUAUCCCUCACUACUAAGCUAUCUAUCACUGCUAAUCUAUCGCUGCCAACCUAUCUAUCGCUGCCAAUUUAUCUACCACUGCCAAUCUAUCUAUUGCUGCUAAUCUAUUGCUGCUGCCAAUCUAUCUAUCACUGCUAAUCUAUUGCUGCUAAUCUAUCACUGCUAAUCUAUCGCUGCUAAUCUAUCGCUGCCAACCUAUCUACCGCGGCGAAUCUAUCUAUCACUAUCAUUACUAGUUCAAAAUAGAACUAGAGCAUAAAUACACUAAACUUCUUUUGAUAGGUAAUGAUUUUUGGUAAUGCUCAUAGCAUUAUAUCAUCUAUAUAGGGUAAAUCAUGGUCCCAUUUGGUCCCAUUUUAACAAAAUGGGACCAAAUGAGACCAGAAUCAGUAAUUUAUAAGAAGAACAUGACCUGGGACUAGAUUUAUAAUAUAAACAGUGUAAAGUGACUAAUUUAAUAAACACUAUAUGGG
rnacentral:sRNA from 1 species